CAAACAUGUCACAGUAAUCAAUACCAUCUGUGUUAAGAUGUCGGGAAUGUGUUAGACGAAUGAUUUUGUUUUAUGGAGCUUUGAAGAGCGAUGAAUGGCACUAAAGUGGUGCCAAAUGGAUAUCUCAAACACCCAUUGUUGAUGUGUGAUGCUGAUAAUACACAGACAGCUAGAGUGACAGAGUUUGAUGAAUAAACUUAAAUUAAAAAACAGAAAUAACCACCAUCUCUCUCAGAGGUCAUCUUUCUCAUUAUUGUGGGGAAACCUCAAAGGGCAUCAGGAAAACCUUCAUCAACCUCUUUGUGCCCAGUGGCUUGUGCAACAGUGUUUCAGAAAUUAUCAUUAAAAUGGGGA